rnacentral:rRNA from 1 species
UACGUAGGUGGCAAGCGUUGUCCGGAUUUACUGGGCGUAAAGAGCGCGUAGGCGGUCGUUUAAGGUACGAAUGUGAAAGCCCCCGGCUCAACUGGGGAGGGUCAUUCGAUACUGAUCGACUUGAAGGCAGGAGAGAGAAGUGGAAUUCCCGGUGUAGUGGUGAAAUGCGUAGAUAAUCGGGAGGAACACCGGUGGCGAAGGCGGC